AAAUCACCCGGAAGAUGGGAUGUUAACUGAUACACCCUUCUUACAAAAUACCUCUAGUAUUUCCAGCUUGCAGUAUUUGAGAAAUAUCUAAAAAUCUCAGAUUCUUACAGAACAUA